GUCAGACAAAAUGGCGGCAUCACCGCCGCUACUGUGUAAAGUUACUUCCCAGUCAGGAAACGAACACUAUUUUUCGUAAAUAAAACAAAGUAACCUUACCAAUCGUAACUGAAUUUUGUUUUUACAAAAAGGAUUUCAUAAAUAUCCUACCUAACUAUUUUUUGUCUCUUUUAGGAUCGUUUAUUAAUCAAAUUACAAAUAUCAGACAAAUAUGGCACAAACAUCCAGCAGAUCCCACUGUAGUGUUCCUUUUUGCUCCAACAACAAACAAAAAGUGCCUUACAUGAGUUUCCACACCUUUCCAACUGACCCAGUACUACGGGGUCAAGGCAAUAAGGAGAGAGGAGGGUGAAACCUUUAAAAUAGUAUAUGGGAGCACCCAUGUGUGCAGUCAUCAUUUUCUCCCAGAAGAGGUGGACGAAAAAGAAUAAAAAAAGAUGCAGUCCCGUCCAGAUUCUAUUGGAACAACUGGGUUACAGAAUCGUACCCUCAUCCAGCCUGUCCAUCUGAGCAGCAGAUGAGGAUUCUUCAUCUCUCCGUUGUGCAGCCGUCCUCCUCGUCAGCCUCCCGAAGGGCUUCAGGGAGAAGAGCAGGCCGCUCUGCUGGAACAGC